GGAUUUUAUAGGUAGGCUAUCAUGUAAAAAUCUGCUACAUAAAAUUAAUUUCAUUUUCAUGUGGUUUAGAGGUCAGCUAUGGAUACUCGGCUGUGAGAAUUUUUAACAGAGCGCAAAGUUGAAGAAGAUGUGAUCAAGAAACUUGAAGAUGAGAAUAUUGAUGAAACUGUCAUUCCCUUAAUGACAGACAGUGACCUGGCAAAGUACAUCCCCAAAGUUGGCGAUAGGGUCUCCACUGUGGCCUUCUGCAGACAAGCAACACUGUCACGGACGUCACCAUCCAGGAAAGAAUCUAUACUCUCAAGGCUACGACAAAGACUGACAGGAGCUGAGGGAAUGCCUCCUAAAAAGAAAUUGUCUCAGUGGGCAGAAAAUACAAAUGCAAAACGAACAGUGAGACGAACUGAGGUUGGCUGGAUGGAUUUUGAUGAGGAGAAGGAAAAAGAGUCUGAUCCACGUCAUCACACAUUGUCUCUCUCACCGGGGCUGACAGGAGAGGCCAAUAUUCCUGACCAAGCACCCCCUGAACCACGAUCUUGUCCCGUAAUACUGACUGUUAGAAGAGGUCAUUGUCUUACUGAUUUGAUCAGUGCCUUUAAG
ensembl:lncRNA